AAUGUUUUGAGAGGAAAAGAACCAAAUUCAUUGCCUGUGAUUUUCUGACGGAGUGGUUAUACAACCAAACCCUAAGAGGAUAGGAGAGCCGUUCACAGAAUUCUUCUCCAU